AACGAACGCUGGCGGCAUGCCUAACACAUGCAAGUCGAACGAGACCUUCGGGUCUAGUGGCGCACGGGUGCGUAACGCGUGGGAACCUGCCCUUAGGUUCGGCAUAACUCCCCGAAAGGGGUGCUAAUACCGGAUCAUGUCUUCGGUCCAAAGAUUUAUCGCCUUUGGAUGGGCCCGCGUUGUAUUAGCUAGUUGGUAGGGUAAAAGCCUACCAAUGCGACGAUCCAUAGCUGGUAUGAGAGGAUGAUCAGACACACUGGUACUGAGACACGGCCCAGACUCCUACGGGAGGCAGGAGUGGGGAAUAUAGGAAAAUGGGCGAAAGGAUGAACCAGCAAGGACGCGUGAGUGAUGAAGGCCUUAGGGUUGUAAAGCUAGUUUACCCGGGAUGAUAAUGACAGUACCGGGAGAAUAAGCUCCGGCUAACUCCGUG
rnacentral:rRNA from 1 species